rnacentral:rRNA from 1 species
CCUACGGGAGGCAGCAGUGGGGAAUAUUGCGCAAUGGGGGAAACCCUGAAGCAGCGACGCCGCGUGGAGGAUGAAGGUCUUCGGAUUGUAAACCCCUGUUGUUAGAGAAGAUAAUGACGGUAUCUAACGAAUAAGCACUGGCUAACUCCGGGCCAGCAGCCGCGGUAAUACGGAGGGUGCAAGCGUUACUCGGAAUCACUGGGCGUAAAGAGCGCGUAGGUGGGUUAGCAAGUCAGAUGUGAAAUCCUAGGGCUUAACCAUAGAACUGCAUUUGAAACUGUUAAUCUAGAGUAUGGGAGAGGUUGGUGGAAUUCUUGGUGUAGGGGUGAAAUCCGUAGAGAUCAAGAGGAAUACUCAUUGCGAAGGCGACCUGCUGGAACAUAACUGACGCUGAUGCGCGAAAGCGUGGGUAGCAAACAGGAUUAGAUACCCGUGUAGUC